UAGUGGCGAACGGGUGAGUAACACGUGGGCAAUCUGCCCUUCACUCUGGGACAAGCCCUGGAAACGGGGUCUAAUACCGGAUACCAGCUCGNNAGGCAUNUCCCGNNCUGGAAAGCUCCGGCGGUGAAGGAUGAGCCCGCGGCCUAUCAGCUUGUUGGUGGGGUAAUGGCCUACCAAGGCGACGACGGGUAGCCGGCCUGAGAGGGCGACCGGCCACACUGGGACUGAGACACGGCCCAGACUCCUACGGGAGGCAGCAGUGGGGAAUAUUGCACAAUGGGCGAAAGCCUGAUGCAGCGACGCCGCGUGAGGGAUGACGGCCUUCGGGUUGUAAACCUCUUUCAGCAGGGAAGAAGCGAGAGUGACGGUACCUGCAGAAGAAGCGCCGGCUAACUACGUGCCAGCAGCCGCGGUAAUACGUAGGGCGCAAGCGUUGUCCGGAAUUAUUGGGCGUAAAGAGCUCGUAGGCGGCUUGUCACGUCGGGUGUGAAAGCCCGGGGCUUAACCCCGGGUCUGCAUCCGAUACGGGCAGGCUAG
rnacentral:rRNA from 1 species